AGCUGCUCUAGAAUGUAGCAAUGGUGGGCUCCUUUGGGGGCCAUCUAGAAGCACCCUGCCCCUGGGCACCUGCCUCCUCACUGGAGGAGACCAGAGGCCACGUCCCAGCCCUGUGCUUCCAGCUCUGGAACUGCCCUUGACUUCACUGGACAGGCCUGAGCAAGUCGUGUAACCUUCAGGGACUCAGCUAUGCCCACUCCAGGCUCUGUGAAACCAAGACAACCUCACGUGCUCAGUUCCUCAGCUCUGCAGGAGCCAGGCUGCUCUGGGUUGCAAGUGGAUGGCAAGCUUCCUUGUGACUUCUCAUCCUGGCAAUUUUCUGGAGUGUUUGUGACUGGACUUUAACAUUUCCAAAAUGUGGCGACAGUGACUGUUAAGUCUUCCCAAAGACGAGGGUUCCUGGGAGCCCCAGGGUAAGUGGCAGACUAAGGCUGCAAGCAUCAGGACAGCAGAGACCAAAUUCAUCAUUGAAUCCUCAACAUCUAGCACAAUAUGCCUGGCAUAAGGUGAAGAGAAGAAGAGUAUGAACUACCACGAAACUCAUUUCCCUCCGUCCUUCAAUCAAAUACAAUGACCUUCAGCUACUCUCACCAUUCUCUACUGAAAACAUCCCAACUAUCUGGAAAGAACUCACCUAAAGUUCCCCAACAUCAAAUAAACCACGUUCCAAAAGAUUCAGAGCCAGAGAGAAACAAAACGCCCUUUGUUGAUGAAGCAUUUACUCAUACAUACAUACAAGUGUGUAUAUAUAUAUACACAUAUAUAUGUGUGUGUGUGUGUGUGUGUGUGUGUGUGUGUGUGUGUGUGUAUACAUAUAUAUAUAUAUUUUUUUUGAGACAGAGUCUCUGUCACCCAGGCUGGAGUGCAGUGGUGCAAUCUCGGCUCACUGCAACCUCUGACUCCCGGGUUCAAGUGAUUCUCUGCCUCAGCUUCCCAAGGAGCUGGGACUACAACAGGUGCAUGCCACCAUGCCUGGAUAAUUUUUGUAUUUUUCGUAGUGAAGGGGUUUUGCCACGUUGGCCAGGCUGGUCUUGAACAUUUACUGAAACAUUUUUGAAGGAUUCAUUGGCAUCAGAAUAUAAAAAGGGGCGUGUGCAAAAUGCCCUAUAUAAAAAUAUAUAUUUAAAACCUUGAUUACAGACAUAGUUCACAUUCAUUGCAGAAAACAUAGAGAAGCACAAAGAACAAAAUUAAAAUGACCUCUAACCUCAACACCUAGAGGACAGCAUUGUUAACACUUAGGCCACAUCCUUUCCUUUAUAUUUAUUCAUAUAAAUGGAACAAAUGAUGUUCCAAAGAUCAGAUCUCAUUGUAACCCCUGCCCUGCAUCAUCAUAGUGUACACAUUUACCCAUGUCAUUAAAUAGUCAUCUACAGUAUAAUUUUAUGCAUAGUAUUCUGUUGUAUGAAUGUGUCAUAAUUUUGUAAUUAUCUCCUAUUGUUGGACAUUUAGGUUGUCUCCAGUUUUCCCUUACUGUCUACAGCAUAGCAAUAAACAUCCACCCUUGUCAUGU
rnacentral:lncRNA from 1 species